GAUGAAGAACGUAGCGAAAUGCGAUAAGUAAUGUGAAUUGCAGAAUUCAGUGAAUCAUCGAAUCUUUGAACGCACAUUGCGCCCGCCAGUAUUCUGGCGGGCAUGCCUGUUCGAGCGUCAUUUCAACCAUCAAGCCCCGGGCUUGUGUUGGGGACCUGCGGCUGCCGCAGACCCUGAAAAGCAGUGGCGGGCUCGCUGUCACACCGAGCGUAGUAGCAUACAUCUCGCUCUGGGCGUGCUGCGGGUUCCGGCCGUUAAACCACCUUUUAACCCAAGGUUGACCUCGGAUCAGGUAGGAAGACCCGCUGAACUUAAGCAUAUCAAUAAGCGGAGGA
rnacentral:misc_RNA from 1 species